UUGCAGAGCCUCAUAGAUUUCAAUGGCAAAAAUGUGCAAUUAGUAACUAACUAGUAGUAGCUUUUAAAUAGUUACAAGUAAGAUUUAAGGAAAGAGAGCACUUCCACUUCAAGUCGUUAAUCUUCUGAACAUGAUCUCCACUGUUCUUAAUUUGUCUGUCCCUUUCAGCCAAGGGCCCAAUUACAUUUGCAAGAAAUGUAGCUGACUGAUAAGGGAUGCUACCAAUGUUGGAGACGGACCACAAUGAGCGUUGUAAUUCAGGUAAUGAUUCGUCCUUUCAAAGCUCCAUCAGGACUUCCAACAUUUGAACAACCUGCCAGUAGACAAAAGGAGGGUAACGGUCCCAACAGCUAUGUUAACCUUAAUUUAGAUCGAACACAGAAAUACUAGACUAGUCGCAAUCCUAAGAGUGGACUGAGAAAGCAAUUACCUCCUACGUCCUCUGGAGGAAGUUGUACCCAAGAACAUGACAAAGUUUUUGGGCUAGCAAAGGUACAUGAAACAGAGAUGCCUCUUAGACAUAUGGUAUCCAGCGUUGGUAGUAUCAGGUUCAAUCAGCAACAUUUAUUUAUACAAGUGCUAUAUUAAGAACAAUGGGGAUUUUAUAAGACUCCUCUCUUUUAGACUGGUGUCUUUAGAAGUCAAAGCACUGUUUAGUAGCAUCCUGACUGAGAAAACACUAAGGGUAAAUGGGCCGCAGCUAACAUAAGACCUCUUCUGGAAAGACAAAAUUAAGUUUAAUUUCAUUAUCCACCUGCUAGACACAUGUCCAGACAAAACAUAUUUAAUUAUAGAUUUUUAAUCAGGUCACCAUCUUCCCAUUUGUAGCUAACCUGCAUGUGGAAUAUUUUUAAGAGACUGCUUUGACUGGUACAAGGACAACAAAUUUCAACAUCAGUUUGACCAGUGAGCAGGAAGAAGACAGUAAGCUGCAGUUGCUAGACAUCUGUGUUCAUGUGAAGUGCGAUAAGAUAAAGGCCACAGGAAACUCACCCUCACUGAUAAACACCUUAAAUCCAACUGUAACCACCACUAACGACACAAGAUCACCGGUGAGGACCUUCCUACACAGAGCAGAAUAUCUAGUCAGUGAGGAGAGGACAGAGACAAUAAGACCCAUCGACUGGGAAGGGGUCAUCGACCAAGAGCCAGCUGAUGCUAUCUGACACUAGAGAACCAUGACAAGCACAAUAUUGUCUCCUACAUAUUACUGCUUGUUACGUGAAGUUCAUCUUGCUAAAAUGACCUUUUUAACUUCACAUCCCUCCAAUAACAGUUAAUUGAAUACAAAACAAUUAAACUCUAAAUUUCCUGCAGAUGUUUCAAAUUAAAAGCUUUCCAUGACUGGUGGGGGAUUAUGCUACAUUUGAGCAGCUGGAAGGCUUUUGUUUUGAAACA